GUAAGAAUUUUCUUCGGGAGCACCUGGGAUCCCAGUACAACCUAAUGUUUUUGGCUACAUGUAGGCCUAAGUUUACAAAAACUAUUUCAAUGAAAUGCCCAGCAAGUGGUAUAAUAUUGUUUUAUGUAUUACGUCGGAUAUGGCAAGACUAGACGUUUCCAUACAUGCUUUUUUGCUUCUUAUGAGCUUUUUAUUUUAAGUUUUUUAAGAAUUUGAAGUAUGGUACAAGUAUAUAAAGUUGACUCCAUUUACAAUAACCAUUACAAUGAAAUGUUUAAAAUAAUGGUAUGAUAGUUUUGUAUAGUAUGUCGGAUAUGGUAAGACUAGACGCUUGAAUACAUACUUUUUGCUACUUAUAGGCAAAGUUUUUAAUUUAAAAGUUGCAAGUAUAUAAUUGACUUGCAAUGAACUGUUGGUUAUGGUAUGAUAGUUUCAUAGUACGUCGGAUAUGGCAAAACUAGACGUUUCAAUACAUUUUUACUACUUAUGGGCUUAAGUUUUUAUUUUAAGUUUUCAAGAAUUUAAAUUACAAGUAAUAUAUUUGGCUCUGUUUACAGAAACUAUUACAAUGAAAUGUUUAAAAUAAUUGUAUGCUAGUUUCAUGGUACGUCGGAUAUGGCAAGACUAGACGUUUCAAUACAUUUUUACUACUUAUGGACUUAAGUUUUUAUUAAGUUUUUAAGAAUUUAAAUUAUAAGUACUGUAUAUAUAGCUGGCUCUGUUUUCAGACACUAUUACAAUGAAAUGUUUAAAAUAAUGGUAUGAUAGUUUCAUAGUACGUCGGAUAUGGCAAGACUAGACGUUUCAAUACACAAUUUUCACUACUUAUACAGUAUAACUUAAAUGUUUAUUUUAAAUUGUUAAGAAUUUAAAUUACAAGUAUAGUUGACUUCAUUUAUAAUAACUAUUACAGUGAAAUGUUUAAAAUAUUGGUUUGAUAGUUUUGUAUAGUACGUCUGAUAUGGCAAGACUAGACGUUUCAAUACAUAUUUUUCACUACUUAUGGGCUUAAAGGCCGUUUUCCACUAGGCGAAUUUUCACAACAAUUUUUACCCAUACGCAUACGCAAGAGACUUUCAAGAUGAAUGUUAAACUGCGCAUGCGUAUAGGCGAAAAUUUUCAAUUUGUGCGAAUACGGUAUAUAUUCGUCUAGUAGAAAACAGGCUUUAGUUUUUAUUUUAAGUUUUUAAGAAUUUAUAUUAUAAGUAGUCCUAUAUAGUUUUGACUCCAUUUAAAGAAACUAUUUCUAUGUGACAUUUUUAGAAUAUUUUUAAGGUGUUGUGUUUUUGUAUACGUCGGAUAUGGCAAGACUAGACGGUUCAAUACACACUUUUUCGCUACUUUAUAUAUGGGCUUAAAUUUUAUUUUAAAUUAUGAAUUUAAAUUACAAGUACACAUAGGCCCUAGUUGACUAGAAUAAUGGUAAGAUAAUGGUAAGACUGACGUUUCAAUAUAUACUGUACUACCAGUAAUUGAUCAAAGACUUUAAAUGCACAUCACGUACAAAGACUAAUACAACAAGUUGCGUAUCAGAGAGUAAUUACCAUGUUUUUACGCUUAAAAUUUAAGAAACACCUGUAAAAUCACUAAAGUAUUUUCCAAAGUGUUAGAGAUAUUGACCAUGUAUUCAUUUUACACAAUUAUACACUAUUAUAUGAACAUUUUUUUUUCACUUUAUGGUAUUUUACUCGUUAAAAAUGUUGUUAAUGGUAUGAUAGUUUCAUAGUACGUCGGAUAUGGCAAAACUAGACGUUUCAAUAUAUUUUUACUACUUAUGGACUUAAAUUUUUAUUAAGUUUUCAAGAAUUUAAAUUACAAGUAUAUAUAAUGGGCUCUGUUUACAGAAACUAUUGCAAUGAAAUGUUAAGAAUAAUGGUAAGAUGUGGUGUUUUCUAGUAUGUUGGAUAUGGAAAGACCUUACGUUUCAAUACAUACUUUUUUUGCUAAUACAGGCUUAAGUUUUCAUUUUAAGUUUUUGAGAAAUUAAAUUUUAAGAAUUUAAAGUACAAGCAUAGGCCUAUAUAGUUGACGCCGUUUACAAUAACUAUUACAAUGAAAUGUUUAAAAUAUUGGUUUGAUAGUUUUGUAUACUACGUCGGAUAUGGCAAGACUAGACGUUUCAAUACAUAUUUUUUGCUACUUGUCGGCUUAAAGGCCAUUUACCACUAGGUGAAUGAAUAUUAAACUGUGCAUGCGUAUAGGCGAAAAUUGUUGAUUUGUGCAAGUACAGUAUAUUCGACUAAUGGAAUAUUCGUCUAAUAAAAAACAGGCUUUAGUUUUUAUUUUACGUUUUUAAGAAUUUGAAUUAUAAGUAUAUAGAGUUGACUCCAUUUAAAGAAACUAUUUUAGAAUAAUUUUAAGAUAUGGUGUUUUUGUAGGCCUAUACGUCGGAUAUGGCAAGACUAGACGGUUCAAUACAUAUUUUUUGCUACUUUAUGGGCUUAAAUUUUUAAAUUACAACUACAUAUAGGCUCUAGUUGACUCCGUUUACAAAAAACUAUUACAAUGAAAUAGAGUAAUGGUAAGAUACUGUUUUUUGUAUAGGCUAUUACGUCGGAUAUGGCAAGACUGAUGUUUCAGUAUAUACUGUACUACCGGUAAUUGAUCAAAGACUUUAAAUGCACAUCACGUACAAAGACUAAUACAACAAGUUGCGUAUCAGAGAGUAAUUACAAUUUUUUUAUACUUAAAAUUUAAGAAACACCUGUAAAAUCACUAAAGUAUUUUCCAAAGUGUUAGAGAUAUUGACCAUGUAUUCAUUGUACACAAUUAUACACUAUUAUAUGAACAUUUUUUUUUCACUUUAUGGUAUCUUACUCGUUAAAAGCCACAUGACAUCAUGACAUUUGACCUAUAAAAAAUUAAAUCAUCCAAUUGGUCUCUUAUUUUGGACAGUCAGGGGCGGAUCCAGAAAUUCCCUGGGGGAGCAAUAGGUAGUCCGUGGUGGAUCCAGGAUCUCAAAAUAGAGUGAAGUGCAGUGAUGGAUUUUGAUCGGGGCUGAGGAAAAAACAGUGUAUGAUUAUUACACCUCUAUGGGGAAAUGGCAAUCAUAUAUCUAAAUUCGAUUAUAAAUUUCCCUUUUUUUCUAGAUUUUCUUCAAAAAGUUUUGAACAAAAUUAAGGGGAGCGGGGUCGGCCUGGCUAGGCCCCACUUGAUUCUGGCAGAGUAGGCCACACAUACCUCUACCCCAUCAUGGUUGGAGCGUGAGCAAAUUUUAAGAAUCUAGAAGCUCGGAAAUGAAUCUCAGAUGGUAAAAAGCAGGGUUCCUCGACAAAAUUAUUUAAUUCCUAUCGAAGGGAGCUAUGCUACCCUUUCCUUGAUACCCAUCACCUCAUGGGCGUCCAAAGGUCUAUUCGAAGACUUAUUUUAGUGAUUCUACUGGGAUUUGCAAAGCAAACUAUGAUUAUGACACCUCAAAAAUGCCCAGAAUCGGUACUCAUUCAGACUUGCAAUUUUAAAAUUUUAUUCAUUAAAAAAAAUUGACAGGUGUAGGGGUUUCUUUUGGCCUUUUUUACAUCCUGAUUUAUGAAAUUUGUGGGGAAAAAAUCAGCGUCUGGUAUAUAGCAUUGUUGUAUUGGGUUCGUCGUCAAUCAAUUUAAAAUCAAAAUUUAGUGAGAGUUAAAAAUCAAGCUCUCCUCACAUUGCUGGACCAGCCACUAAACUCAUGGUUACACUGCCUUUUCCUCUCCUUUACAUUUUUCUCCCUCUUUUUUUUUCAGUGGGACUGACGGGGGUUAGGCACAGGCCCCGUGAGCCCCUGGAUCUGCCUCUGACAGUGUGCAUAACAUUGGUGUGAGAGCAAUGCUAAAUAGAGAAGCUAAUAGGCCUACUUAAAUAUUUAUAUCUUAGAUAAACGUGUUUUUUGACGUUGCAAUUAGAAGCCGCUUCGUUUAUUUGUUUAGCUUUCAGAAAUGUAGUAAACAGGUACCGGUAUUUUAAUACUGAUUAAACAUGUAAUGCAUCAAACA